UUAUUACCAUAAUUAUUGUAAAAAUUAAUCAUUUUCAACGAUUAGAUUAUAAUCUUACUUUUUCUUGCAACAUCGUUAACUAAUUAAACAGUUAUAUCGAAAGUUGUGCAAUUUCGUAAUCUUCCAUCGCGGCGCAAUAUCGCGAAAUAACGAAUGACUCGCUUCUUCUUGAAAGAAUCGGAUAUCUCUGCCUCUCGCAUCCGCGCCAUCAAUUGCAUUCUCGCGAGACCAAGGAAAUGCACCGGAGGAUAUUUAUACGUAACGAGAUUGCGCAGUUUGUAAGUACGUCUGUCGCGAUAAACAUAACAGAGAUGAUUACAAUUCUACCUCUCUUCCAGCGCUUUUAUCGCGAAGUUUUAAUAGUGAUUAUCGCGCGGCCGCGUUUUUCCACCGAUAAGUUGGUCGUUGCGUAUUCGAGCGCCGGCUCUUUUCGUGCCGACUCUAUGACGGAAGUUUCGGCACUAAACUAAUAUUUGCAUAAUAGCCGUGCGCGCCCGCUCUUCUCUCCCGCCGUUUAUUUCUGAAGUUUAAUUGUGUUCCUUUAGCAGUUACGGCGGGCGCGCGGUGCGGCCACGAUAUUACAACGAAAUAAUUCACAAACGCGGUAAACACUUCCGCUGUCGACUGUCAAGCGGGAGAGUAAUAGCGUUGCAAAUAUAAUAUUCGCGAUAUACGCGUCGCGCGGGAGACCUAUUAGAGACCGGCUAUCGAUUUGCGAUUCCGCGACGGCAAAUGAUUGUCGAUGGGAAUUACGCCCAUUGCAAGAGAAUGGGCGCGCCCGCAUUCUCCCCAUUCGAUCUUCUGUCUCUUUGAAUAUUUCUAUGAUUUUGUAAUUAACGUCAACGCCGAUGUACCUAUGUAUCUCCUCUGCGUACAUGUCAAGUCCAGUUCCUUUGAUCCACGUUCUCUGUCCGUUUUCUACGCGGCUGAAUUAAUUUGCAUACGAGUGCCAUAAAUGUCACAUGCAUAUUUCAUGAUAAAUACAUCUGGCGAAUGUAACUAUUCAUUUCGCGCGCUAUUCGCAAAGAUGACGCGAAGUUACAUCCGCUUUCACGGGCUAUGUUGUCAGUGGACGUGAGCGCUCUUUCCACGUGUCAGUUUAGCAAAAUACGAAUUUCAUAGUGGAUAAACAAAGUUCAGAAUCAACGAAUCCUUGACACUGAAUUUACAUGAAGAGAAAUUAUUUCGGGACGUAAUGUUUUUCCCCCCUUUCGUAAAAUGACAUAAUAAUUUCACAGAGAAACGGACUGAGCGUCGAUUUCGACGCGAUUUAUUUCCUUAUCGCGAUCAAUGUGCGCGUCGUUCAAGAGCGUUCGUUUCUUAAAAAACCGAGUAAACUUACGAAAGACGCAAAUUUCAAGGAAGAAAUCGGUGGAUAGGACACCGCCCCCUUCCGCCGCCCAUCUAUCCUUUUAGGGUCGGAAAACUAUUCAAUUUCAUAAUCCGAUUUGGCGUACGGUUGCGGGAAGCAGAAAACUUUCGAUUUAUGACACGCUUAGGACACAAAAUCCUCCGAAUCCACUAACCGCGCACUUCCCUCCUCGUUCUCUCUCUCCCACCCCCACGUAGAGAUGUAUUCUGCCAGAUGAGGGGGAGUGCAAUUUCCGUAAGAAGAAUAAGGUUGCGAGAAGCCGGCCGAGGUAGUUCUUAGCUCUCUUUGCGCCGGCAAUUACGAUAAAAAUAAGAUCACGGACGAUUCCCGAUCCGCACGCUCAACUUUUUCCUAUUUGCUCUUGAAAUUACAGUAACGCCUCGAGGCUCUCGCGCGGCUCGAAAUAAACAUUGCUAGAGUAAAGCAGUUCGCGUUAUUAAAGCCCCGCAAUCCCCGCGGCGAAUUAAGCAAAAAAGCCAUGACAAAAUCUGUCAGUUUGGAGAAACUUCGGUUGAUGACACUCUCCUGAAUUCAUACACAUACAAGGUGUGUUUCUCAAUAAUCCCCUUUCGAAACUUAGACGAUUUAUCUUUGAUGUUUGUUGCCGGGCCUCGGUCGCAUACUCGGGGCGGGCAGCAACCAAGCAAACUCUGACAGGGUGGCCGAUCCAUUAAUUAAGUUAAUUAACUCCCGACAGGUAACACGCCGCCGCUAUGGACGCCAAGUAAACUCUAAUGUCGGCCUAGAAACUGGCGUUGGCUGGCGUUAUCUCGCGCGUAUACGCGCGAUUACAAGAGAUUACACCAAAUCCGCCGUGAGUACACACGUACUUUUGUAUAAUACGCGCGUACAAUAAUUAAUGCACCUGUCUUUUUCCGCGUGGAUCUUAUAAAUUCGAAGAGCGCCGCGUUCAACAUGUAAAACCGUCCUAUAAAUUUACUUUUAUGCAAAAGCAAAAAAUUGCGUCUUUAUACAUAAUUUUAAUAUAGUUGAAUAUUAAACAUGUCAGAACGUAUAUCAAAUUUUGUUACUUAACGAGUAACUUAUAAAAUGUAAGAUAUCGCGUAAAAUUUUCAUUAAUUAGUUAUAAGAAACAGGAGUUUUGUAAAAAAAAUAUAUAUAUAUAUAUGUAUGUAUGUAUGUAGUAAAUAUUUGUAAAUUUUUGUGUGUUUUACAUAUAGCUAUAACAAAAUUUGUAGGUAUUUAUAUUAAAUAUAUAGAUGUAGGUGUGUAAGAAUAUGUGCAGCAGACUUCUUAAAAAAAUUUCCAAAAAGAGGCGCUACUUUUUUUCAUGUACUACAUCUAAAAUAUCCUUUAAAUCUUCUAAACACUUCUACGAGAGAGAUCGGUUCUUAGUUCCGGCAACUCACGGACACGGAAUUCGAUCGCACGCGAAUUCUAUAGCGGUCGCGGUUCACACGCCGAAGUUUCCCGACUCCGAUUACUCGAUCGUGAAAUCCCAUGCUGGGAGAUUGCAGACAGUUUGAGCUCGCAGCGGAUAUUUAAAUGAGAGAACGCGGCUGCAACUUAGUUGACUUGACCGCAUCGAAGAUCAAGGAGUGCAGUUCUCUCAAAGGGGAGACACAACUGUUACGCCAACCAGCACUUGUCUGUAUUAACGGCAGAGGUAUCUUCGUAAUCGCAGUUCCUGCGAUAAAGGUGCGUAAUCAGAGUUUAAUUUCAGAAUAGUAUCGCAAAGACAAUUGUCAGUCAAAUAUGUUGCAAUGUGUUCAAGAAGAAUGUUAUAUCGUUCAUUUAUUACAAUGACAUAAA
rnacentral:lncRNA from 1 species